GCCCACGUAGUUCAGCAGGAUAGAACGCAGUCCUCCUAAGACUGAUGUCAGGGGUUCGAGUCCCUUCGUGGGCA
rnacentral:tRNA from 1 species